rnacentral:rRNA from 1 species
AUGCCUUCCUGGAACAACGAGGAAACCAGCUCGGAGGAGGAGUGCGAGGUUGUCAGCAUGGACAUGGGACUUAUGGAGGAACCAGACACCAUUGUGGAGCCCCUUUUCUGUGGCCAACUUGAGCUUGCUCAUCCCAAGUGCAUUCUGCACCAACUGAGGCCUAUUAAGCGUGUUGCUUUUGAAGGGCCUGUAACAGGGAGGCGUUUCUAUGGCUGCCCGGUCCAGGAAAAUGGUGUGAAUUAUGGUGUUGUAGAGUGGGUUGAUGGGCCUUGGCGAACUGUUCUUCAGAGAUGUUUGUGCAAGCUAUGGGAGAUGUUCCAUGAGUAG